CAGCACCUCAAGUGGUCAGGAUGAUUAUUGGGCCUAAAGCAUCCGUAGCUCGUUUUGUAAGUUUUCGGUUAAAUCCAUGCGCUUAACGUACAGGCUGCCGGGAAUACUGCAGAGCUAGGGAGUGGGAGAGGUAGACGGUACUCGGUAGGAAGGGGUAAAAUCCUUUGAUCUAUUGAUGACCACCUGUGGCGAAGGCGGUCUACCAGAACACGUCCGACGGUGAGGGAUGAAAGCUGGGGGAGCAAACCGGAUUAGAGACCCGAGUAGUCC
rnacentral:rRNA from 1 species